CCUACGGGGGGCUGCAGUGAGGAAUAUUGGUCAAUGGGCGGGAGCCUGAACCAGCCAAGCCGCGUGAAGGAAGAAGGCGCCAGGCGUCGUAAACUUCUUUUGUCGGGGAACAAAGGGCGCCACGUGUGGCGUUGUGAGUGUACCCGACGAAAAAGCAUCGGCUAACUCCGUGCCCGCAGCCGCGGUAAUACGGAGGAUGCAAGCGGUAUCCGGAUUUAUGGGGUUAAAGGGGUGCGUAGGCGGUCCGGAACGUAAGCGGUAAAAGCCCGGUGCUCAACCCCGGCGAGCCGUUGAAACUGUCGGACUAGAGACGGCGAGAAGUACGCGGAAUGCGCGGUGUAGCGGUGAAAUGCAUAGAUAUCGCGCAGAACUCCGAUUGCGAAGGCAGCGUACCGGCGCCGGACUGACGCUGAGGCACGAAAGCGUGGGUAUCGAACAGGAUUAGAUACCCCGGUAGUC
rnacentral:rRNA from 1 species